UGAGGAGUAUUGGUCAAUGGGCGAGAGCCUGAACCAGCCAAGUCGCGUGAAGGAUGACUGUCUUAUGGAUUGUAAACUUCUUUUAUACGGGAAUAACAAGAGUCACGUGUGACUCCCUGCAUGUACCGUAUGAAUAAGCAUCGGCUAACUCCGUGCCAGCAGCCGCGGUAAUACGGAGGAUGCGAGCGUUAUCCGGAUUUAUUGGGUUUAAAGGGUGCGUAGGCGGCCUGUUAAGUCAGCGGUGAAAUCUAGGAGCUUAACUCCUAAAUUGCCAUUGAUACUGGCGGGCUUGAGUGUAGAUGAGGUAGGCGGAAUGCGUGGUGUAGCGGUGGAAUGCAUAGAUAUCACGCAGAACUCCGAUUGCGAAGGCAGCUUACUAAGGUACAACUGACGCUGAAGCACGAAAGCGUGGGUAUCAAACAGGAUUAGAUACCCUGGUAGUCCACGCAGUAACGAUGAUAACUGGGCGUAUGCGAUAUACAGUAUGCUCCUAAGCGAAAGCGUUAAGUUAUCCACCUGGGGAGUACGCCGGCNCGGU
rnacentral:rRNA from 1 species